CGAAACGAACUGUUUCGUGCUUUAGUCUCUUACUUGCUAAAGGGUUGACCAAUGAAGAGAAUAUUCCUAAUUGUUUCGAGGUCCAAAGGUUGUUCCCUUUGCAGCAGAAGUAGAUGGCGUUGCGCAUAUUGCAGUCCAACCAAACAAAAGCGUAAGGAAGAAGUGGCCGAUAGCGAUAAAAAGAGACAAAAAAAAAGAGGGAAGUUGUGGAAACUCGGGACUACUAGUCUAGUGUGCACGAUGAAUUCAUAGCCAAGUGGGAAAAAUUCAUAGUUACGUCGACCUAAUGUAAGUAUCCUACGAAACCAUUAAGAUACAUGUACUAUUCACGGGAAAUAGCAUCAAAAGUAAUAUACAGUCAAACCUUUAAUAAAAGACCGUCCAAUGGAGAAUAGGUCACACAUGACAAGUAGUCACUUAAUUAAUGAUCCUUCUGCAGUGAAGGCAUUUAGCAGGUAAUACACUGAAAUGUACAUUGGAGAAAAUAACUGUACAUGUAUUUAGAAUGAAUAAAUUCAUUAUUAAGAAUAACGAG